AGAUCACUGCUCGGGUUGGGCUGGGUAUCGGUCGGCAGGUGGUUCAACACUAGAUCUCAUCUGUGCUUCUUUAUGCUUAGAAGACAACUGACUUCACCAUGUUUCCUGGCACCAAGAGUUUUGAUCAGAAGUGGAUUGGAAUAUAGGCCUUUUUUUGGUCAACAGCAUCAGGAUAUUCUCUGGAGGACCCCUGAAUAACCACUGAACCAGUCAAACUUAUGAAGUCCCUCACUGAACAAACAAGCAUAGCUAAGGAAGACCUAUACCAUAACAAACAAGUUCAGAAGGGAUGACAUGAUCCAUGGACAUUUGAUGACUGAACAUUAUGACAUGACCAAAGGAGCACUAGGCAAUGAAAAUGCUGUGAUUCCAUAAAGAUAAAACAAAAAGACAUGUGGGGCCCUUCCUUUGUGGCUUUUAAUGUCAAGCAUUUGUUCUCAAAUCUCUAAAACAAAAAGGGCAGGAAGUUGACCUGGUAUCUCUACUGAUGAAUCUGAUACUUGACGAUGACCUUCAGUGAUAUUACAGGGAUUUAUGCAAGUCUUAUUCAGGUAAGUGGUGCAAGGAAUACGGUAUUUCACUGUUCUCAUGUUGAUACAGCGUAUAAUGGUAAGGCUUGCAGAUGGUGGGUACCGUGGGCAACUCUAUGAAUUUAAGUUUUCUUUUUGAGUGCUAAUGAUUAGCACAGCUAGUAGAUGGCACCCUUUAAAAUCCAUAUAAAUCUUACCUCAAAUUAUUUUGGAAGCAUUUCAAUAUUCUCGUGUCAUUUUUGGGAUAGUCAGUUAACUGUCACACCAGUUAAAACUAAUGUAAAUUAUAAAAGCAACAAGCACUGCACAUGCAUCAACUGCAGAAUGUGCUGACUGUAUCUAUACAAGUUAAAUUUGGCACUUACUUGGGCACUGAGAUCAGCUGCUAAGAAAUGGCACCUGCCUAUGAUAGCCUAACAGUUUAAACAAAAGAAAAUAAGCCCAAAAUUCUACUGAUUUCAAUUUUACUUGAUUUCUGAAUACUACAGAUCUUCAAACUACAGAUCUUCAAACAUAACCCCAUUCAUUUUGUGAAUCUAACUCUUAAAGCAGUUUUAAGGGCACAUUCUAGUAACGAAUGUUUUUAAACCAAUAAUCUUUCCAAAGUAUAAAAUAAGAUGUCCAACUCAAACUACAGUCCAGAAAGCUUUAUGCCAGGCUGUUGCCUGACCUAUUAUGAGUGCAUAUUUUACAUGCACAACAUGCAUGUUACAUGGCUAAAGGCAAGUUAUACAAUGCCUUUUUCUGUGUCACAGAAUACUUAAAAUACCUUGGCAUUACUAGACAACAAUACAGAGAAACCCGUAUUCCAUGCCACAUCUGGAAAAGCACAAGAGUGUCAAAUAGGACUCACUAGUAUGCAUAGCAUACUCCUUCCUGGUCUCCUGUAAUUCUGUGUCAUGUUUUGAGCAUACAUUUUCUUCUUGAACCUAGUUUUUGCAUUUGAUAUUUAAAUAUACAGGCAGGUCAAAGCAUAUAGUAUCUCAGAAAUUUGAGUUUCCACCAAGCAUAAAUGAUUAUUCAGUAAUAAGGAAAAAAAAUAUCUUAUUGCUUUCCUAAGAUCUCUGAACUUCCUAAGAAUAGAUCUUCUUCACCAAGGCAGGCAGACCCCUUUUGUAAUACAUUUCUACUCACAAAUAUUUUCUCUGGCUUUAACACUGACAUGCUGUCUAAAGUAGUCUGGAGACAGGAUCAGGGGUGGAGCACUGGCUAAUCUGUGAUGCCACUGGUACUACAGCUAAUUUGGAAGAGAGUAAAUGUCCUUCAAAAUUUCAGUCAAAAAUGGUGCUGGUUUUUAUCCCAUUACCAUGGAAGAGAUGAAGAUAAAAUCUGGCCACAAUUCUUUGUAUAAUAAGCGAUAUCUUGGCUACCCAGAACAGGAAUUGGUAGCUGCAAAAUCAGUGUGCUAGAAACAAAAUGGAAAUAUGAAGUGGUGGUGAACUACAGGUGAUUCGAAAACAAGAUGCAUUGCUAAAGGUGCUGGUCUCAAGUAUCUUCCAAGCUUUGGAAAUGGGCAACUUCUGUGCCUCAGGCAUCAGACCCAAACCAACUGGCAGCAGAGCAUGAGUGUGAGUCAGCACAGGAUUCCUGUACUGAGGAUGAAAAGGUAAGGAAAAUAAAGCCAGAGAUUCCAUUCAUUCAGGAAAGGAUCUCACUAAAUGGUACAACUCAGUGUGUCCAAUGCAGCCAGGCUUUCAGAGUUUCUUGUCAUGGCAAAGAACAGUACAGAAAACCCUUAUAUUGCCUGAAGGAGAAAUGGGCAAAACGUCAUGAUAACAGUGUGUCUAUGGCAACUUUUCCAAGGAUAAAAAUAAGUGCUCAAUUAACAAAAGUAAAACCAUGAGAUCUGUGACUUCUAAGAAUGCGCUUACCUUGAUUUCACAAGUCACUGAAAAAAUAAUCAUUAAACCUCCAGUCUUAGCAGCUAUUCUGGCUUGUUUUACAAAGGUUAAUAAUGCUUUCUACACAGCACUGACUUUCUGAUAACACAGAUUUAACACAGAUUACAAUCCAGGUGAAAAAAAAAUAAAAGAAAAAUUCUUUAGGGCUUUCCUUAGAGCUGCUCUCUUUUUAAAUCAUGAAAGAGUUCCAGUCUCCAAACACUCCCUGCAUGUUUGACACUAACCUACUUCCUUCAUCUCCUGAGCAAACACCAAAAGAAUAAGCCUGAGUAUAAUGUCCUGUGCUGUACUGAUUAGCUGGAGAACAGCAUAAUGUAGUCAGUCUUUAAUCCUGGCUCCAGAUGUUCUGUCAAGCUUUCCUUCAAGAAUGAAGAAGCAGUAAGAAGAAGAAUUAUUCACAAAAAGUCGUUGUAAGUAAAGAUUACUGCCACUUCUCUGUUCAUUCUGUUCUCUCUUCCUGAUUUGUCUUCAUAUGUUCUUCCCAUUUCUUCCAGCUAUUAUUCAGCAAGACUCGAGUUUUAUUAAUGAUGUUUACCUACCCCACUGUUUAGCGUUUUUCCCCAUGAGAUAGUGAGUAUCCAUUAAUAAGGAAGUCCUUGUGACUAUGAUUCCUAGUAAGGAAGAAUAGAAACUAUGGUUUUUGUCUGCUAGGUAGGAUCCCUUUCCAAAAACUUUAUCUGCCUGAAAAUUAAGCAGUUGUACUCAUGGUACUCUUUUACAACAGGAUGGUUUCAGCAGCAAAGCCAGAUGUUUGUUGCCCCUCCCCUCUAUUUCUUAUCCCCACUCAAAACUUUGUACAUUAUUAGCACUAUCAAGAUUCAUGGUUGAGGGUCCACACCAUAACACAGUCAGUUAAAUGAUGUGUAAUAAAGAGAACUCUAUAAAAAAGAAACGACAGAAAAGGGAGUGAGCUAUGGUACAUGGAAAGCGUUGUGCUGCCAGGGCAUUGGAAUAAAGGGUGAGGAAAGCUGUCUUCUGCCAAACAGCACUUCUGAAACUGUACCUUCAGCUACACACUCAGAUAGGGCCAAAGCUGUUUAACAGACGCCUCCCACUGACCAUCAUCCCAGUUAUCUAUAGAGGUAUCUACUGACUAUACAAAUAAACCUGAAUGAAAAUUUCUGAAUUAUUUUUUCAAGGCUUUUAUUCGAGGAAUUUGGAACUCAUCAUUCCCAUUUCAUUGCAAGAACUGAAAGCCAAGAAAAGACUGGAAUUUCACAGAAACAGUGCUUUGUUAUGUAUCUUAAGUUUUUUCACUAUAAGAAAGCUAUAAAUUUUCUGAUAUAAAUACCAACUGCAUUUCAGUGUCACCAGUACUACUAUGUAGCCCCUCUCCUUCCCCUCAU